GCGGGCGUAGUUCAGUGGUAGAACGCAUGCUUCCCAAGCAUGAUAUCGUGGGUUCGAGUCCCAUCGCCCGCUCCU
rnacentral:tRNA from 1 species